rnacentral:rRNA from 1 species
AACGAACGCUGGCGGCAUGCCUAACACAUGCAAGUCGAACGGGAUCCGGACUUCGGUUCGGUGAGAGUGGCGGACGGGUGAGUUACGCGUGGGAACCUGCCCAGUGGUGGGGGAUAACGUAGCGAAGGUUACGCUAAUACCGCAUACGCACUAAGGUGGAAAGUGGGGGAUCUUCGGACCUCAUGCUCAUGGAGUGGCCGAUAUCUGAUUAGCUAGUUGGUGAGGUAAAGGCUCACCAAGGCGACGAUCAGUAGCUGGUUUGAGAGAACGACCAGCCACACUGGAACUGAGACACGGUCCAGACUCCUACGGGAGGCAGCAGUGGGGAAUUUUGGGACAAAUGGGGGCAACCCUGAUCCAGCAAUGCCGCGUGAGUGAAGAAGGCCUC